rnacentral:rRNA from 1 species
UGGAAGGGCCAUCGCUCAACGGAUAAAAGGUACUCCGGGGAUAACAGGCUGAUACCGCCCAAGAGUUCAUAUCGACGGCGGUGUUUGGCACCUCGAUGUCGGCUCAUCACAUCCUGGGGCUGAAGUAGGUCCCAAGGGUAUGGCUGUUCGCCAUUUAAAGUGGUACGCGAGCUGGGUUUAGAACGUCGUGAGACAGUUCGGUCCCUAUCUGCCGUGGGCGCUGGAGAACUGAGGGGGGCUGCUCCUAGUACGAGAGGACCGGAGUGGACGCAUCACUGGUGUUCGGGUUGUCAUGCCAAUGGCACUGCCCGGUAGCUAAAUGCGGAAGAGAUAAGUGCUGAAAGCAUCUAAGCACGAAACUUGCCCCGAGAUGAGUU